rnacentral:sRNA from 1 species
AUUCUGCCCAUGCGGGGAAGGAUGAGAAGCUUCGACUAAGGUUCGGCUCGAGCGUCAGCGAGAGAGCGUUGCCGCAGGCAACGACCCGAAGGGCGAAG